CUCAGUACCCGGAGGAAAGGAAAUCAACCGAUACUCCGCUAGUAGUGGCGAGCGAACGCGGACCAGCCGAGCCUCGAGAGGCAGCAGAACCAUCUGGAAUGAUGGGCGAUAUGGGUGACAGCCCCGUAUGCGACACCUCGAGAGGACACAUCAAGUAGGGCGGGACACGUGAAAUCCUGUCUGAAGAUCGGGGGACCACCCUCGAAGGCUAAGUACUCCUUGCUGACCGAUAGCGAACAAGUACCGUGAGGGAAAGGUGAAAAGCACCCCGACAAGGGGAGUGAAACAGUUCCUGAAACCGGACGCCUACAAACAGUCGGAGCCUGCUGAGGACCUUCGGGUCAUCGGACGGGUGACGGCGUACCUUUUGUAUAAUGGGUCAACGACUUGGUCUCACGAGCAAGCUUAAGCCGGUAGGCGUAGGCGCAGCGAAAGCGAGUCUGAAUAGGGGCGCUUGAGUUCGUGGGAUCAGACCCGAAACCGAGGUGAGUCUAGGCAUGUCCAGGAUGAAGGUGCGGUAACACGCACUGGG
rnacentral:rRNA from 1 species